rnacentral:rRNA from 1 species
UACCAGCACCCCGAGUGGUCGGGACGAUUAUUGGGCCUAAAGCAUCCGUAGCCGGUUCUACAAGUCUUCCGUUAAAUCCACCUGCUUAACAGAUGGGCUGCGGAGGAUACUAUAGAGCUAGGAGGCGGGAGAGGCAAGCGGUACUUAGUGGGUAGGGGUAAAAUCCGUUGAUCCAUUGAAGACCACCAGUGGCGAAGGCGGCUUGCCAGAACGCACUCGACGGUGAGGGAUGGAAAGCUGGGG